UGGACAAUGCUAUUGAGAAGGAAUUG
rnacentral:piRNA from 1 species